GGGGGUGAAAGGCCAAUCAAACCGGGAGAUAGCUGGUUCUCCCCGAAAGCUAUUUAGGUAGCGCCUCGUGAAUUCAUCUCCGGGGGUAGAGCACUGUUUCGGCUAGGGGGCCAUCCCGGCUUACCAACCCGAUGCAAACUGCGAAUACCGGAGAAUGUUAUCACGGGAGACACACGGCGGGUGCUAACGUCCGUCGUGAAGAGGGAAACAACCCAGACCGCCAGCUAAGGUCCCAAAGUCAUGGUUAAGUGGGAAACGAUGUGGGAAGGCCCAGACAGCCAGGAUGUUGGCUUAGAAGCAGCCAUCAUUUAAAGAAAGCGUAAUAGCUCACUGGUCGAGUCGGCCUGCGCGGAAGAUGUAACGGGGCUAAACCAUGCACCGAAGCUGCGGCAGCGAACGUAUCACCCAAGACAACUUUACGGAGUUGACGAUUGACGGAGCGAAGCGACGUCAAAGCGUUCAUUAAAGUCGAGUUGGCUUAGGGAUACGUUCGUUGGGUAGGGGAGCGUUCUGUAAGCCUGUGAAGGUGUGUCGUGAGGCAUGCUGGAGGUAUCAGAAGUGCGAAUGCUGACAUAAGUAACGAUAAAGCGGGUGAAAAGCCCGCUCGCCGGAAGACCAAGGGUUCCUGUCCAACGUUAAUCGGGGCAGGGUGAGUCGACCCCUAAGGCGAGGCCGAAAGGCGUAGUCGAUGGGAAACGGGUUAAUAUUCCCGUACUUGGUGUUACUGCGAAGGGGGGACGGAGAAGGCUAUGUUGGCCGGGCGACGGUUGUCCCGGUUUAAGCGUGUAGGUGUGUGUUCCAGGUAAAUCCGGUUCACUUUAACACUGAGGCGUGACGACGAGGCACUACGGUGCUGAAGCAACAAAUGCCCUGCUUCCAGGAAAAGCCUCUAAGCAUCAGGUAACAUCAAAUCGUACCCCAAACCGACACAGGUGGUCAGGUAGAGAAUACCAAGGCGCUUGAGAGAACUCGGGUGAAGGAACUAGGCAAAAUGGUGCCGUAACUUCGGGAGAAGGCACGCUGACACGUAGGUGAAGUGAUUUACUCAUGGAGCUGAAGUCAGUCGAAGAUACCAGCUGGCUGCAACUGUUUAUUAAAAACACAGCACUGUGCAAACACGAAAGUGGACGUAUACGGUGUGACGCCUGCCCGGUGCCGGAAGGUUAAUUGAUGGGGUCAGCGCAAGCGAAGCUCCUGAUCGAAGCCCCGGUAAACGGCGGCCGUAACUAUAACGGUCCUAAGGUAGCGAAAUUCCUUGUCGGGUAAGUUCCGACCUGCACGAAUGGCGUAAUGAUGGCCAGGCUGUCUCCACCCGAGACUCAGUGAAAUUGAACUCGCUGUGAAGAUGCAGUGUACCCGCGGCAAGACGGAAAGACCCCGUGAACCUUUACUAUAGCUUGACACUGAACAUUGAGCCUUGAUGUGUAGGAUAGGUGGGAGGCUUUGAAGUGUGGACGCCAGUCUGCAUGGAGCCGACCUUGAAAUACCACCCUUUAAUGUUUGAUGUUCUAACGUGGACCCGUAAUCCGGGUUGCGGACAGUGUCUGGUGGGUAGUUUGACUGGGGCGGUCUCCUCCUAAAGAGUAACGGAGGAGCACGAAGGUUGGCUAAUCCUGGUCGGACAUCAGGAGGUUAGUGCAAUGGCAUAAGCCAGCUUGACUGCGAGCGUGACGGCGCGAGCAGGUGCGAAAG
rnacentral:rRNA from 1 species